AGUGAACGCUGGCGGUAGGCCUAACACAUGCAAGUCGAACGGCAGCACAGUAAGAGCUUGCUCUUACGGGUGGCGAGUGGCGGACGGGUGAGGAAUACAUCGGAAUCUACUUUUUCGUGGGGGAUCACGUAGGGAAACUUACGCUAAUACCGCAUACGACCUACGGGUGAAAGCAGGGGAUCUUCGGACCUUGCGCGAUUGAAUGAGCCGAUGUCGGAUUAGCUAGUUGGCGGGGUAAAGGCCAAGCAAGGCGACGAUCCGUAGCUGGUCUGAGAGGAUGAUCAGCCACACUGGAACUGAGACACGGUCCAGACUCCUACGGGAGGCAGCAGUGGGGAAUAUUGGACAAUGGGCGCAAGCCUGAUCCAGCCAUACCGCGUGGGUGAAGGAGGCCUUCGGGUUGUAAAGCCCUUUUGUUGGGAAAGAAAAGCAGCAGGUUAAUACCACGCUGUUCUGACGGUACCCAAAGAAUAAGCACCGGCUAACUUCGUG
rnacentral:rRNA from 1 species